AAUAAGCUUAAUAAUGAUAACCAACUUACUGAAGGUGUAUAUAUGUGUCAGUUUUCAAACCAAAACCUUUUUAUUUAUAACCGUAACCCUAAGUUUUUAUGAAUAGUAUAGUAUACGAUAUACUAUAUAUGUACAUAAGAAAAUGAUGAAAACUCAAAUUUCUUCUUUGGAAAUGCUCUGUAAAAUGGCGCUAGCCAUCGCAAGAUUAGACUUGAACAGAGCUUUUUUAGAAUUAUCCACUAAAGGAUUUUUCCGAACAUAAGUUUUUAAGAACCAAUCCACUUUCGAUGAAAGGUUUUUCUCUGCUUUGCAGUUUUCAAAUAUUUUUACGAGUUGUAAAUCGUCUUUAACUCCCAAAAUUAUAUCGGUAAAAAAGACCAGUAAAAACGUUUGCAUUUGGGCAUUAAUGGCCAUAAAAUCCACAUGCUAAAAUUGAGUUAGUAAUUACAAUCAAAUUUUUAGAAUAUACGUACUUUGAGGAUAGUUAAGGGCUGUGCAGCUUCAAUGACUAAAGACGCAUAAAGCUUCGCCAAGUUAACUAUGCGUCUCAUGGAUAUUUCUCUUUCUUCACUAUCAUCAUCUGGUUGUAGUUCAUUAAAGAAAUCCCAAAGAGAGAAUUGAAAUGACUUUUUCAAAUUGUGCUGCAAUGUACAACAUUUUAACGCUACCAAACCAUAAAACGGGUUAUACAAUUUCUCAUUACCAACGCAAUGCAAAAUUACAUAAGCUAUUUCAGGUAAUUGAUUCCUUUUGAGAUGCAACUUCAGCACUCUUUCCCAUGCAUCAAUGUAGUCCUAAGUUUGUUAGUUUAAAGUUAAUGAAAUUUAGAACGAAUACCUCUGAACCAACAAGGGCAACGAAUAUCGAAGUUCGAAGAGUUGAAUUCAAUCUUAACUUCUUAGCAGCUUGUAAAAUUUUUGAAUGGGCCGUCAGUUCUUCUGAUUUUUUCUUAUCCUGUAAUGCUUCAGUAGAUAAUGUGUUGUCACCAGAUGGAACAUUAUUCCAAGAAGCUCCAACAAGCCACCAUCGACCUUUCGUCUCAAUCUGCUCAAUAUCUUCUAAAGUAACUCGUAAAGGCUCUCUAGCAUUUAAUGAGCGGUUGCCUAACGAACCCAAAAAUUUCUUUAGCUGAUUUACAGCUUCAAAUUUAGAUUGGGCGCUAGCAUUGGCAACUUUUGUUUUUUUGUUUUCUUUAAGAUUAGUGAUCGAUUCUACCAUAAACUUUGUACGGACAGAUAUGGUUGAUGGAUCAGCUGAAGCUAAUAACAAAUUCAUUUCCGUAACAAUAUCUUGGAGAGACGUCGGGUCAUCUGAUCGCAACUGCCCUCCACAAUUGAGGACAAUUUUGAGCAGCAUUUCAACGUUCAAUUCGGUUAAAGAGCGUAAAAAAAGGCGAAUCAAAUCAUAAACAAGAACACAUGAAACAAGUUGAAAAUUAUACAACUCAACAAAAAAUACAAUCAAGU